rnacentral:rRNA from 1 species
UACGUAAGGGGCUAGCGUUGUCCGGAAUCAUUGGGCGUAAAGAGCGUGUAGGCGGCUUGGUAAGUCCGCUGUGAAAGUCCAGGGCUCAACCCUGGAAUGCCAGUGGAUACUGUCAAGCUAGAGUCCGGAAGAGGCGAGUGGAAUUCCUGGUGUAGCGGUGAAAUGCGCAGAUAUCAGGAGGAACACCAAUGGCGAAGGCAGCUCGCUGGGACGGUACUGACGCUGAGACGCGAAAGCGUGGGGAGCAAACAGG